UACGGAGGGUGCAAGCGUUAUCCGGAUUCACUGGGUUUAAAGGGUGCGUAGGAGGGCAGGUAAGUCAGUGGUGAAAUCUUCGAGCUUAACUCGGAAACUGCCGUUGAUACUAUCUGUCUUGAAUCCCGUGGAGAUGAGCGGAAUAUGUCAUGUAGCGGUGAAAUGCUUAGAUAUGAUAUAGAACACCAAUUGCGAAGGCAGGUUACUGAGCCACAACUGACGCUGAGGCACGAAAGCGUGGGGAUCAAACAGG
rnacentral:rRNA from 1 species